rnacentral:misc_RNA from 1 species
UCUUGAUAGAAUAAUUCAUAAGGAUUAAUCUGUUAAAAACAAGAUCGAAGUACUGAGGUGUCAUGAGUAGAGUAGUAAAUACAAAUAAACUAACUAGUAUUACAAAAAUUUUAUGAGGAGAAAUAACAUAUUCCAGCAUGCCAAUCCUACAAAAGGUAUCUGGUAAAAUGACAAUUUUCUGCCUCCUAUGAUACCCUAAAUGUACACUUGAUAAAUCAGGAAUGAAAUGAUGCCCAUCAAGUAGCAUCAGAGAGUUGCACCUCUGCAAUUAUAAGCAUGGGAAGCCAUUGUUAUCGACAUUCGGUCAGAGGAAAAUCCCUCCUAAGCAGCAACUGCAAUCUUUUCUUGUUGCUUAACACCUGACAUUUUAGGCUUUGGAUCAACUUUCAUUUCAGGUUUCUCAAUUCCUUGAAUAUCAGUUAUUCUCAACUUAGUCAGUUCCUGGCGAUGUCCUUUGGUUCGGCGGUAAUUCUUCCUUCUCUUCUUCUUGAAGAUAAUUACUUUUGCAUCUAAGGCAUGCUCCUCAACAACUGCAUGAACAGCUGCAUCUGGCACUGUAGGCCUGCCAACAAUUGUUUGAGAGCUUGAUCCUAACAAGAGAACCUUGUUCAAAAUCAACUUGUCAUUUACUUCACAGAAUUUCAAUUUCUCGGUGAAAAUGCAAUCCCCAUUGCUCACCUUAAAUUGGUGAGAACCAAUCUGAACAACGGCGAAAACAGGCUCGUAUG